UAGGGAAUCUCCACAAUGGACGCAAGUCUGAUGGAGCAACGCCGCGUGAGUGAAGAAGGUUUUCGGACCGUAAAGCUCUGUUGUUGGUGAAGAAGGAUAGAGGUAGUAACUGGCCUUUAUUUGACGGUAAUCAACCAGAAAGUCACGGCUAACUACGUGCCAGCAGCCGCGGUAAAUACGUAGGUGGCAAGCGUUGUCCGGAUUUAUUGGGCGUAAAGCGAGCGCAGGCGGAAGAAUAAGUCUGAUGUGAAAGCCCUCGGCUUAACCGAGGAAUUGCAUCGGAAACUGUUUUUCUUGAGUGCAGAAGAGGAGAGUAGAACUCCAUGUGUAGCGGUGGAAUGCGUAGAUAUAUGGAAGAAUACCAGUGGCGAAGGCGGCUCUCUGGUCUGCAACUGACGCUGAGGCUCGAAAGCAUGGGUAGCGAACAGGAUUAGAUACCCUGGUAGUCCAUGCCGUAAACGAUGAGUGCUAAGUGUUGGGAGGCUUCCGCCUCUCAGUGCUGCAGCUAACGCAUUAAGCACUCCGCCUGGGGAGUACGACCGCAAGGUUGAAAC
rnacentral:rRNA from 1 species